AAAGCCAAACUUGAUAAAAAAAAAGUGAAUUUGAAAUUUAUUUUAAUUCUUUUUGAAGAGUAUGUCUCUAAUCAACUGGAAAUGUGCACUAUCUCUGUCAAAAGUGGGAUGGAACUUGAAAUUGUUAAGUUAGGAGGUUUGGGCUUGUAUAAAUUUAACCGGUAUAUCCGGUAGACGAUUAAUAAUCAACUUAGAACUGGUACGAAUCGGACUGUCUGACUGUCUAAUUAAAACACAGCAUUGUGAUGUCUGUAAAACGGUGUUGACACAAUAUGAUUUCUUAUCAGAAAUCUAAUCAAGCGUGGGUAAACGUUUAAAGUAGUCAUCUAUUACCUUCAUCUAUUACCUAGCGAAACCACAACCGAGGGAUGUGGCUUGG
rfam:Rhizophagus irregularis DAOM 181602 strain DAOM 197198 GLOINscaffold_3497_Cont3498, whole genome shotgun sequence.